UACGUAGGUGGCAAGCGUGGUCCGGAAUUAUUGGGCGUAAAGCGCGCGCAGGUGGUUUCUUAAGUCUGAUGUGAAAGCCCACGGCUCAACCGUGGAGGGUCAUUGGAAACUGGGGAACUUGAGUGCAGAAGAGGAAAGUGGAAUUCCAAGUGUAGCGGUGAAAUGCGUAGAGAUUUGGAGGAACACCAGUGGCGAAGGCGCCUUUCUGGUCUGUAACUGACACUGAGGCGCGAAAGCGUGGGGAGCGAACAGG
rnacentral:rRNA from 1 species